rnacentral:rRNA from 1 species
CACGGAGGAUCCGAGCGUUAUCCGGAUUUAUUGGGUUUAAAGGGUGCGCAGGCGGGAGAUUAAGUCGGCGGUGAAAUUUUGCAGCUCAACUGUAAAAGUGCCUUCGAAACUGGUUUCCUUGAGUGUGGAUGAAGUAGGCGGAAUUUGUGGUGUAGCGGUGAAAUGCAUAGAUAUCACGAGGAACUCCGAUUGCGCAGGCAGCUUACUAAACCAUAACUGACGCUCAGGCACGAAGGCGUGGGGAUCAAACAGGAUUAGAUACCCCCGUAGU